rnacentral:rRNA from 1 species
UACGUAGGUGGCAAGCGUUGUCCGGAAUCAUUGGGCGUAAAGAGCGUGUAGGCGGCUCGGUAAGUCCGCUGUGAAAGUCCAGGGCUCAACCCUGGAAUGCCGGUGGAAACUGUCGAGCUAGAGUCCGGAAGAGGCGAGUGGAAUUCCUGGUGUAGCGGUGAAAUGCGCAGAUAUCAGGAGGAACACCGAUGGCGAAGGCAGCUCGCUGGGACGGUACUGACGCUGAGACGCGAAAGCGUGGGGAGCAAACAGG